rnacentral:lncRNA from 1 species
AUGGGCACAUGGACAUCACCAGAUGGUCAACACCAAAAUCAGACUGAUUAUAUUCUUUGCAGCCAAAGAUGGAGAAGCUCUAUACAGUCAACAAAAACAAGACCAGGAGCUGACUGUGGCUCAGAUCAUGAACUCCUUAUUACCAAAUUCAGACUUAAAUUGAAGAAAGUAGGGAAAACUGCUAGACUAUUCAGGUAUGACCUAAAUCAAAUCCCUUAUGAUUAUACAGUGGAAGUGAGAAAUAGAUUUAAGGGACUAGAUCUGAUGGAUAGAGUACCUGAUGAACUAUGGAAUGAGGUUCCUGACAUUGUAAAGGAGAUAGGGAUCAAGACCAUCCCCAUGGAAAAGAAAUGCAAAAAAGCAAAAUGGCUGUCUGGGGAGGCCUUACAAAUAGCUGGGAAAAGGAGAGAGGCAAAAAGCAAAGGAGAAAAGGAAAGAUUUAAGCAGCUGAAUGCAGAGUUCCAAAGAAUAGCAAGAAGAGAUAAGAAAGCCUUCUUCAGCAAUCAAUGCAAAGAAAUCGAGGAAAACAACAGAAUGGGAAAGACUAGAGAUCUCUUCAAGAAAAUUAGAGAUACCAAGGGAACAUUUCAUACAAAGAUGAGCUCAAUAAAGGACAGAAAUGGUAUGGACCUAACAGAAGCAGAAGAUAUUAAGAAGAGGUGGCAAGAAUACACAGAAGAACUGUACAAAACAGAUCUUCUCAACCCAGAUAAUCAUGAUGAUGUGAUCACUCAUCUAGAGCCAGACAUCCUGGAAUGUGAAGUCAAGUGGGCAUUAGAAAGCAGCACUAUGAACAAAGCUAGUGGAGAUGAUGGAAUUCCAGUUGAGCUGUUUCAAAUCCUGAAAUAUGAUGCUGUGAAAGUGCUGCACUCAAUAUGCCAGCAAAUUUGGAAAACUCAGCAGUGGCCACAGGACUGGAAAAGGUCAGUUUUCAUUCCAAUCCCAAAGAAAGGCAACGCCAAAGAAUGCUCAAACUACCGAACAAUUGCACUCAUCUCACAUGCUAGUAAAGUCAUGCUCAAAAUUCUCCAAGCCAGGCUUCAGCAAUACGUGAACCGUGAACUUCCUGAUGUUCAAGCUGGUGUUAGAAAAGGCAGACGAACCAGAGAUCAAAUUGCCAACAUAUGCUGGAUCAUGGAAAAAGCAAGAGAGUUACAGAAAAACAUCUAUUUCUGCUUUAUUGGCUAUGCCAAAGCCUUUGACUGUGUGGAUCACAAGAAACUGUGGAAAAUUCUGAAAGAGAAGGGAAUACCAGACCACCUAACAUGCCUCCUGAGAAAUCUGUAUGCAGGUCAGCAAGCCACAGUUAGAACUGGACAUGGAACAACAGACUGGUUCCAAAUAGGAAAAAGUGUACGUCAAGGCUGUAUAUUGUCACCCUGCUUAUUUAACUUAUAUGCAAAGUACAUCAUGAGAAACGCUGGCCUGGAAGAAACACAAGCUGAAAUCAAGAUUGCCGGGAGAAAUGUCAAUAACCUCAGAUAUGCAGAUGAUACCACCCUUAUGGCAGAAAGUGAAGAGGAACUAAAAAGCCUCUUGAUGAAAGUGAAAGAGGAGAGUGAAAAAGUUGGCUUAAAGCUCAACAUUCAGAAAACGAAGAUCAUGGAAUCUGGUCCCAUCACUUCAUGGGAAAUAGAUGGGGAAACAAUAGAAACAGUCUCAGACUUAAUUUUUUUGGGCUCCAAAAUCACUGCAGAUGGUGACUGUGGCCAUGAAAUUAAAAGACACUUACUCCUUGGAAGAAAAGUUAUGACCAACCUAGAUAGCAUAUUCAAAAGCAGGGACAUUACUUUGCCGACUAAGGUCCAUCUAGUCAAGGCUAUGGUUUUUCCUGUGGUCAUGUAUGGAUGUGAGAGUUGGACUGUGAAGAAGGCUGAGCGCCGAAGAGUUGAUGCUUUUGUACUGUGGUGUUGGAGAAGACUCUUGAGAGUCCCUUGGACUUCAAGGAGAUCCAACCAGUCCAUUCUGAAGGAGAUCAACCCUGGGAUUUCUUUGGAGGGAAUGAUGCUGAAGCUGAAACUCCAGUACUUUAGCCACCUCACGCGAAGAGUUGACUCAUUGGAAAAGACUCUGAUGCUGGGAGGGAUUGGGGGCAGUAGGAGAAAGGGAUGA